CGACCGGCGCACGGGUGAGUAACGCGUAUGCAAUCUACCUUCCACUAGGGCAUAACCCGGAGAAAUUCGGACUAAUACCCUAUAAUACGAAUAUUUCGCAUGAAACUUUCGUUAAAGAUUAAUCAGUAGAAGAUGAGCAUGCGUUCCAUUAGCCAGUUGGUGAGGUAACAGCUCACCAAAGCAACGAUGGAUAGGGGAACUGAGAGGUUUAUCCCCCACACUGGAACUGAGACACGGACCAG
rnacentral:rRNA from 1 species